AGAGUGAACGCUGGCGGCAGGCCUAACACAUGCAAGUCGAGCGGCAGCGCGGGUAGCAAUACCUGGCGGCGAGCGGCGGACGGGUGAGGAAUACAUCGGAAUCUGCCUUGUUGUGGGGGAUAACGUAGGGAAACUUACGCUAAUACCGCAUAAGACCGUAAGGUGAAAGCGGGGGAUCGAAAGACCUCGCGCGACAAGAUGAGCCGAUGUCGGAUUAGCUAGUUGGUGGGGUAAAGGCCUACCAAGGCGACGAUCCAUAGCUGGUCUGAGAGGAUGAUCAGCCACACUGGGACUGAGACACGGCCCAGACUCCUACGGGAGGCAGCAGUGGGGAAUAUUGGACAAUGGGCGAAAGCCUGAUCCAGCAAUGCCGCGUGAGUGAAGAAGGCCUUAGGGUUGUAAAGCUCUUUUACCCGGGAAGAUAAUGACUGUACCGGGAGAAUAAGCCCGGCUAACUCCGUGCCAGCAGCCGC
rnacentral:rRNA from 1 species